GUUGCACAGCCUCUUAUUAUUCUUCUUAUCAUUCUUUUCCAUGAUUUUUCUUUUUUAAAAAGAAGAAGGGAAGAACUUGAAGAAUAGAUUCUCAUGGCUGCUUUGUGAUUCAAAGAACCAACGAUCCACCAUUUUUUCUGCAUCAAGAACAACCAUUAUAUUCUUCAAAAAGAAAGGGAAAAAAAAUAUACUUUUUCACUUUCAAAGGAAGAACAACCAUUCGUUGUUCUUUCUCUUUGCCUUCCAAUAAUCUUCUUAGCUUCCUGUAAUUCUUCUUAUUGUUGUUGUUUUUGGAGAGUAUGGAGACAAGGGUUCUUGAUGGUAUAAUCAAUAGGUUGCUUGAAGUUAGAGGCAAGCCAGGGAAGCAAGUCCAGCUCUCUGAGUCCGAAAUAAGACAGCUUUGUCUUGUUUCUAAAGACAUCUUCUUGAUGCAGCCGAUUCUGUUGGAGCUUGAAGCACCUAUUAAGAUCUGUGGAGACAUUCAUGGCCAGUACUCGGAUCUCCUGAGGCUGUUCGAAAAUGGCGGCUUCCCUCCUCGUGCCAAUUACUUGUUCUUAGGGGACUACGUCGAUCGGGGAAAGCAAAGUCUCGAAACCAUCUGCCUUCUCCUUGCAUACAAGAUCAAAUAUCCCGAGAAUUUUUUCCUGCUCCGGGGCAACCACGAAUGUGCAUCGGUGAACCGUACCUACGGUUUCUACGACGAGUGCAAACGGAGAUUCAAUGUCCGGUUAUGGAAGGUGUUCACCGAUUGUUUCAACUGCCUCCCCGUUGCGGCCCUGAUCGAAGAAAAGAUAUUCUGCAUGCAUGGCGGACUGUCGCCGGAGCUAUGCAAUUUAGACCAGAUUAGGAAGUUAAAGCGGCCCGUGGAUGUUCCGGAAUCUGGCUUACUAUGUGAUCUCCUAUGGUCUGAUCCUAGUAAAGACAUUCAAGGCUGGGGGCCUAAUGACAGGGGAGUUUCAUACAUAUUUGGUCCUGAUAGGGUGAUUGAUUGUCUCACGAAGCUUGACCUUGAUUUAAUUUGCCGUGCACACCAGGUCGUCGAAGACGGAUACGAGUUCUUUGCUAAUAGGCAACUUGUAACCAUAUUUUCUGCACCAAAUUACUGUGGAGAAUUCGACAAUGCGGCUGCCAUGAUGAGUGUGGAUGAAACAUUGAUGUGUUCAUUCCAAAUAUUGAAGCCUGCAGAUAAGAAACCGAAAUCCGGGUUCGGGACAUUGACUUCAAUCAAGUCUCCUACACCUCCAUCUAGAAUCAGGUCAUUUCUUGGAGCAAAAGUAUAAUAAGAGGCUUAUAACUGAUGGAGAUAUCAAGAGCAAGUCGGCUGCUAUCGAUCAAAGGGGAUAUUUGGAAGAUUUUACAACGUAAAACUCUUAUGAAAUCCGGUUGUCCUGAUGUUUGGAGCAUUCCCAGCUUUGAUCACGUAUUACCGGUGCAUGAAAAUGCCCGAAACCACUAGGUACACUGCCUUGGUUGCCAAGAAAGCGAAACAGGCUGUGGCUGAUAUGUCGAAAGAUAUUCGGGUCGAUUUGGAGUCAGAACCAGAGAAACUAGAACAAAACAAAGGGAACAGUUUCGGGUUGUUCUGCGCACAAUUUCUUCGUCGACAUGGACUUCACUUGCUUACCUAGAUCACUUGGGUUCGUGCUAGACAUUUCAUUCUAUAGUCAAAACCUGUUCCAAAAGGACAUCUUUAGUGCCAUUGGUUGGAUUCCAAAGGCAAACAUCAUGCAUGCCAUUGAA